GUCGAAGCCUGCGUAGCACAACGACCCGUGAACAUGUAACAACAACCGGGUGUCCGUUGUAUCGAGCUCUUGCUUGGUUCUUUGGAUGCCAUGUUGAUGUGUGUCUUUGGUACUCCUCUUGGGUUCCCUUAGGCGUCACAUUUGACACAAGAACAAACCCCCGGCACGGCAUGUGCCAAGGAAAAAUUAACGUAAAAAGGGCUGGUAUCGUGCGUCAUCGUUUGUGAUGAUUGCAUGGAAUCUUGCUUCUUUAUAAUCAUAAACGACUCUCGGCAACGGAUAUCUCGGCUCACGCAUCGAUGAAGAACGUAGCAAAAUGCGAUACUUGGUGUGAAUUGCAGAAUCCCGUGAACCAUCGAGUUUUUGAACGCAAGUUGCGCCCGAAGCCUUUUGGUUGAGGGCACGUCUGCCUGGGCGUCACAUAUCGCGUCGCCUCCUAUCAUACCUCUUGACGGGGAUGCUUGGAUGGAGGCGGAGAUUGGUCUCCCGUCCUUAAGGUGCGGUUGGCCUAAACAGGAGUCCUCUUCGAAGGAUGCACGAUUAGUGGUGGUUGAAAUGACCCUCUUAUCGAGUCGUGUGUUCCAAGGAGUAGGGAAGAUCCCUUUGAUGACCCUAACGUGUCGUCUCAUGACGAUCCUUCGACUGCG
rnacentral:rRNA from 1 species